rnacentral:lncRNA from 1 species
GUGAAACUAGGUGAGACAGCUGUUGUACUCUACAGCAUACAGCUUCUGGUUAGAAAGAUAUAGGGUGAAACUAGGUGAGACAGCUGUUGUACUCUACAGCAUACAGCUUCUGGUUAGAAAUAUAUAGGGUGAAACUAGAUGAGACAGCUGUUGUAAUCUACAGCAUACAGCUUCUGGUUAGAAAGAUAUAGGGUGAAACUAGGUGAGACAGCUGUUGUACUCUACAGCAGUGGUAUUCAAAGUCCAGGUCUCGAGUGAACUGCAGUUUGAUCGCAGCAAAAAAACAUUAUUUUAGGAACAAAAAAUGAAGAGUACAGAUUAUUGUAUGGGUCAACAUAAAAACGUUUUUUAGAAAGAUAAUUUGAAAAAUAAAAUGUAUUUAUUGUUUUCUUUUAAUUUUGAUAAGAGAUGAACAUGUAAUGAAUUGAAGGUUAUUUGUUGAUGUAAAAAUCGGAAUUUACAGAUUUUAAGGUUAUGUUAUUUGUUUUGGGGUGGGAUGAGGUCGCAAAAAAAUGUUGUGUCAGGAAAAAAUGGGGUCCCAGCUGAACAAGUUUGAAUACCACUGUUCUACAGCAUACAGCCUCUGGUUAGAAAUAUUAUAGGGUGAAAGCAGCACAACCAGUCUCUGCUCUGCUGGACCUGUCUCUCCCUGCUGUAGAGGGCUCAAACCACCUGUAAGUGAGUGCAACACAAUAUCACACUCAAUUUGUGCAAAUAUGUACAAAAAGUAUUUCAGCAGAUUUUGUGCGUUUUUAUGUGGCUUAAUUUUUGUGAAAAUACAAAAACAAUUGCUCGAAUAACUUUCAAAAGAUUGUUCCUAGGUUUGCCCCCCAAAAAUGUAUUUUCCUAUGAAUGAAGUUGCACAAAAAUGUGUGUCUUUUCACACAAAUUAAGCCUCGCUAAAACAAACAAAAUCUUCUUAAAUACCUUUUGUACAUAUUUGCACGAGUUGAGUGUGAGAUUAUGUUGCAACGUGUUAUAAAGUGCUUGAAUUGGA